GAAUAUAGAAUACUUUAUAUUCUAAUAUGUAAUUCUAUAUGUAAUAGAAUAUAAUAUAGAGUUUCAGGGUCUAACUAGUUUGGAAGAGGAUGUGUAUUACAGUAUAAUCAGAUAAGGGGGUAGGGGUUUUAUUACAGGAAAACCCCCCCAUCGGGUGGUAUUUGGAGACACAUCUCAAGGAAGAAAGGAACUGCGGGGAGCCACUAUAAACAUUGAAUGCAGGAAUGUGAGCCGACAUCUGCAGGCGACACCUGGAGCAGAAGUCUGGAGCCAGAUCAAAUGGUCAUCAUUCUGCAGGACAACGAUGACGUCAGAUUACGGACCAAUCAGACGACAGCGAUUACAUACUGGCCUGUUUGAAACAUUGUAUAAGUCUGGGGUAGAAUCAGAUAGUUUCAGUUCGACUACUUUAUCUGCUAAGGAUAAGAUGGGGUAGUUACGAACCCAGAGCUCUGCAAAUGUAUAGACUCCUCUGUCAGGAAUAAAUUGGUUGGUUUUGAUA